rnacentral:rRNA from 1 species
UUAACACAAGCAAGUCGAACAAUUUGACGCAAUUUGAAGCUCCUAGCUAGUUAGCUGUCUCUCUCAUUCAUAAAGCAAGAGAUUGAGACUUUGAGAAUGAAGUGGCGAACGGGUGCGUAAGGCGUGGGAAAUUCUGCCAAGGAGUUCGGGAAAACCGGAGAGAAAGCUAACGAAGAGCACUCCUUGAUGAGCCCGCGUAGUAUUAGGUAGUUGGUUAGGUUACGGCUGACCAAGCCGAUGAUGCUUAGUUGAUCUUUUCGGAUGAUCAGCCACACCGGGACUGAGACAAGGCCCGGACCCAGGAUUGGGGCAGCAGUGGGGAAUCUUGGACAAUAGGCAAAAGCCCGAUCCAGCAAUCUUGCGUGAUUUAGACUCGUACGGAGCCCGCCGGAGUGCGGGGAUAUAGGGCACUUUAGCUUGUAAAAGCUCUUUCAACGAGUAUGCGAUGAUGACAUGACUCGUGUAGUGUAAGAAGCUCCGGCUAACUUCGUGCCAGCAGCCGCGGUAAGACGAAGGGGGCAAGUCUUUCUCGGAAUGACUGGGCGUAAAGAGCAUGUAGGCGGUCAGUCAAAUUGGAGCGGAAAAGCGCCAUACAGAUGGUGAGUUGUUACCAAAACACCUGACUUGGGUCAGAUAAGGGAGAGUGGAAUUUCGUAGGGAGGUGCAAAAGCCGUCUAUCUAUGUAAGGAAGUCCUCAGGCGAAGGCAGCUCUCUAGGUCUAGACCGACGCUAAAUGUGCGAAACGUGGGUAGCAAACAGGAUUAGAGACCCUGGUAGUCCACGCUGUCAACGAUGAGUGUUAGCUGUUUGGUCGUGCGAUCGGGAGCACAGCUAACGCGUGAAACACUCCGCCUGGGGAGUACAGUCGCAAGGCUGAAAUUCAAAGGAAUUGACGGGGGCCCGCAUAAGCGGUGGAGCAUGUGGUUUAAUUCGAUACAACGCGAAGGAUCUUACCAGCUUUUGAAUGCGGGAGUUUCGUUACCUUGUGCUUGUGCUUUUAGUUUAGCGGGGGAGCUUGAAUAAGGGAUCCUCGCGACUAGCCAGGAGGCGGCGGGGCACUUUGACCUUCUGCUUAGUACGCUUUCGUACAGGUGUUGCAUGGCUGUCGUCAGUCCGUGUCGUGGGAUGUCGGGUCAAUUCCUAUAACGGGCGAAACCCUUGUCCUUCGUGUUGCUGAAGAGAGCCUAGGUUGGCUCCGUACAAGUGGCAGUGCAAUUACAACCUGGCGGUUGCCUUAGAGAGGCGUCGCACUCACAAGAGACAGACGCUUAUAUGGUAUAGGAAGGUGGGGAUGACGUCAAGUCCGCAUGGUCCUUAAAGGCUGGGCCACACAUGUGCUACAAUGACAAUUACAAUGGGAUGUGAGGCUUUAAGGACAUCACAAAUCCUCAAAGAUUGUCGCAGUUCGGAUUCCUCUCUGUAAUUCGGGAGGAUGAAGCAGGAAUCGCUAGUAAUCGCGGAUGAGUAUGCCGCGGUGAACUUAGAACCGGGUUUUGUACACACCGCCCGUCACACCCUGGGAAUUGGUUUCGCCCUAAGCAUCUUAGCAGGGGUUGCCCAUGACUUGCUUCUGGUUUGCCAUGGAGUGCUCGUUGGCAGUCUUUGUUGGAUACCACGGUGGGGUCUCUAACUGGGGUGAAGUCGUAACAAGGUAGCCGUAGGGGA